rnacentral:lncRNA from 1 species
UGUAUUAUUGGAAGGCAAAGUUGCAAUAAUGACAUGGUCUUGAAAUACUUGUUAAAGUACAGAACAUUUGUGUUGGGGUUGCUCAUUUCUGUCUGGACUUUGUUCUUCAGAGACCUGGGACAAACACAUGUGUCACUUACAGUACUUGAGAACAUCCUCACAAAGGCUCUGGAAUUGGAAAGACUGAUCUUACCGAGCCAUAUGGUCUGCUGUCUCUGCCAUUUUAAAGAUGAUAUGAUGUUGCCUGCAAGACAGUCGAGCUGCUGUGUGACAGCGCAUGUCUGACCAAUGACAUGCAGUGCCGUGAGUCUCAACUACCUGAUGAUGAAUGUUUUCAUUUUAUUUUAUUUGCUUUUUAAUUUUUAACUGGUGAUGAUAAAAAUUGUAAACUAAUGACACAAUCAUUUUACUUUGAUUCAUUCAUCAAAGUUAAGCUCCCCAAAAUUCUGAAGUGCUCCUCAGGGGAGAGACAGGCUCUCAGCACUUCAUCAUGCAAUAACAGAACUGUCCCACAUGCGUAAGGACAGAGAGAAAGGGCUGGAAGGCAGGGAACACCGUUCUUGGCCGCGCACCCUGGACCGUGUUCUUUGUUUGGUGCUUUGCCUUCCAAUGAAAAUUUCAUUCAUAAAGUGCAGUGGAGACUGUAAGAUGGUUGUAUAUACAUGAGGUUUCGUUUCCUCGACCUCGGGGCAGCUGUAGAUCAGUUUUAUCUUCUUUUUGUAAUU